rnacentral:hammerhead_ribozyme from 1 species
AUCCAGAUGACGAGUCCCAAAUAGGAUGAAACGCGAGUCGUGGAU